GGACCCGCACAAGCGGUGGAGCAUGUGGUUUAAUUCGAUGCAACGCGAAGAACCUUACCUGGUCUUGACAUCCUGCGAACUUUCUAGAAAUAGAUUGGUGCCUUCGGGAACGCAGUGACAGGUGCUGCAUGGCUGUCGUCAGCUCGUGUCGUGAGAUGUUGGGUUAAGUCCCGCAACGAGCGCAACCCUCGUCCUAUGUUGCCAGCACGUAAUGGUGGGAACUCAUGGGAUACUGCCGGGGUCAACUCGGAGGAAGGCGGGGAUGACGUCAAGUCCUCAUGGCCCUUACGGGUAGGGCUACACACGUGCUACAAUGGCAGUGACAAUGGGAUAAUCCCCAAAAGCUGUCUCAGUUCGGAUUGUCGGCUGCAACUCGCCGGCAUG
rnacentral:rRNA from 1 species